rnacentral:rRNA from 1 species
UACAGAGGUCCCGAGCGUUGUUCGGAUUCACUGGGCGUAAAGGGUGCGUAGGUGGCGGGGUAAGUCUGGUGUGAAAGCUCCGAGCUCAACUCGGAAAAGCAUUGGAAACUAUCCCGCUAGAGGGUCGGAGGGGAGACUGGAAUUCUCGGUGUAGCAGUGAAAUGCGUAGAUAUCGAGAGGAACACCAGUGGCGAAGGCGAGUCUCUGGACGACUCCUGACACUGAGGCACGAAAGCUAGGGGAGCAAACAGG